ACAAAAUGAUACAAUGAACAUAGAGGAAAAAAGAAAAGAAAAAAAGAAAAAGCUCUCCCAGAGGAUGCUCGGCAUGCACAACGAUUCGUGAAAUAUCCUUGGGCAAUUUCUUGCCCCUACAAUCAGCAUGCCCCUGUUUCUUGCAUCAGCUUCAUCUUACAAUAAUUGCCAUCAAACCUGAUAAAUUAACACUAAAAACAGGCAAUCCUUUUUGGCACCUCAAACAGGCGCUUUUUUCUUUUUCUGGCCAAAAA